CAGCUUUUCACGGAGCAGGCAGGGAAAGCAGAAAUGUGGUCUACAGGGUCCCAGCCACAGCAUCACAGAGCAGAGUAUAGAACAGCAGAUUUGAAAAAUAAUAGCUUGAUAACCAACUAACUACUUGUUUUUCAUAAAAUUUAUUUACUCAGAAAUUUUGUUCACAGGUGUCUUCGGCUAGGAGAAGAGUUUUGCUUAACCUCGAUAAUGACGUCUAUUCAUGUAUCCAUGGACCUAUGUGACAAAGGAGAUGUUUUAAAAAGACUGUCAAGAAACCUUGACUCUAGGACUUUCUCUACCAGUAUCUGGCAUUAAAUUUUUUUUAAGAAGAACUCCAAGCAUGAUAUCCUCAAGACAAUGUUCAAAAGUGACAAGAAAGGGCAGACCUUUCUCCUCAUACACCUCUCUCCUUUUAAUCAGGUGGGAUCAUCUUUCCCAAAAGCCUUUAUAGUAGCCCGGGUUUCCCCAAAAAAACAGAGCUUAGAGUAAGAACCCACAUGGAGGUAGUUAUUUUGGGGAAUGUGAGAAGGAGACUGGAUUGAGGGAAACCAGAGAGAAGUGAAAGGCAAUGCAUUAUUAAGCUGGCUACCACCAUAGAGAAUUGUGGCUUGGUCCCACAGAGGUCUUCUAAAAUAACAUGUAGACUGGACUUCAGGGUUUGUUCAGACCAAGGAACAGAAGAAAGGAACAUUUGUCUGCCAGUCCUGCCCUCCAUUAGAUAAGGUUGUCCUAGGGAUGUUAACUCUUGCACUUCCAGUAUUACGGAUGGAUGAUAUGACUGAGCACAUUUCCAAAGGUGUCCCACAGAGAGCAGCAGAGAUGGCCCAAACUAGAAAGCAAUAAAUGCAUGGAAACAAACUUUAGUGGGCUACACUUUGAUACAUAUUUAUUUGUUGUAGCACCAACAAAAGCAGAGAUAGGCUGAGAGAAUAAGAAGCAAGUCUGUGAUUUCUAACACAUUGCCCAGCCAACUUUUACUCAGGUUCCACUGGUAAGGUCUAUACCUUGGCCCAUUAUAUAACUACAAAGGUGGUAGGGAGUAGGGACAAAAGAGAGCCAAGGACCUGCCAUCCGUAAUGUUGGAUCAAUAGAUAAGACAUAAGACUAAAAAAAAGUAAUUAAAAGAUUAUUUAAGCAAAAUAUAGGUAUGUUAGAGAUACAGAGAUAAAUUACAAAAGAAAGAGAUAAAGGUAUUGAAAAGAAUUUGUCUUUGUAGAGCAGGAAAUGGGGAUGGGGAUAUAGAACAUUGUUUAUUUUUUUAUGUCCUAGUCUUUGACUUCUCAAACAAAGUUCAUAUUUCAAUUUAAAAAAUGAAAUCUAAAACUUGUAUAUGGAAACUACCAGACACUAUGAAACUUAAAUAAUUCAUACACUUUAUGCCUUCAGAUGUCAUGGGUGGCCCUUGAAAUGUCUGCUCAUUGAUAAGAAGAGCAGAGUAAGGGACAACUACUAGAGUGUAGUGCCUCAUUUGUAGCAGAGUUAACAGGUGCUUAAGAAAUGGAAAGAGAGAAGGAAACAAGAGAGAAAUGAGGAAAGAUAACUCUUAGAAUAGAAAACCCUGAGUAGCACUGCUAUAAUGAGUAACUCACCCUUAUGGCUCAGUGAAAAGCUACCCAAACACAGCAAAAUCAUCCUGGAGCUUCCAGUUACAGGGCUUCACUAUGAAAUAUUUCCAACAUGGUCACAACAAAGACUAGAUGGAAAAACUUGGCCUGACUUAGUCGUAUCAUUCUGUUCCUGUUUGUAGGUGGAUAAAAUUAAAUAAUGGUAUAAUUUUAGAGUCUAAAAUAUCAAGGUUGUACUAGGUACAUAAAGAGCUCCACUGGUAAAUACUUAUUGUCCCAGACAACAGAAUAGCAAACAAUCAUCCUGCUAGAUCUUAGUUAUUUACUCCUCAAAUGCUGCUAUAUAAACUCUUUAGUAAACAUUAGAUGAAAAGUGUAAAAUAUGACAAUUCUCUCCAGUAAAAACAGUAAAUGAAUUUCUGAAUUAAAUAUACUUGACUAUAA
rnacentral:lncRNA from 10 species